rnacentral:rRNA from 1 species
CUGCUCAAAUGAUUUUUUAAAUUGCUGUGGUAUUUUGACUAUACAAAGGUAUUGUAAUAAGAUUUUAAUUGAAUGCUAAGAGAAUGGAAAUUUAAAAAAAAACUUUUUUAAAAAUAAAAAUUGAAUUUUUUUUAAUUUGUGCAAAAACAAUUAUAUUUAUUAAAGACAAGAAGACCCUAAGAAUUUAAGAUUUUACAAUUAAAAAGUUUUUUUUUAAAAUCUUGAUUGGGGCGAUCAAAAAAUAUUAAUAACUUUUUAAAAUUUAAAUUGAUCUAUUAUUAAUAAACUAAUGAAUUAAAUACUCUAGGGAUAACAGCGUAAUAAUUUUUGAUAGAUCUUAUUGACAAAAUAGUUUGCGACCUCGAUGUUGGAUUAGGAUUCUUUUUUAAUGAAGAAGUUAAAAAAAGAAGUU